rnacentral:rRNA from 1 species
AACAAACGCUGGCGGCGUGCCUAAUACAUGCAAGACGAACGGUAAGUUGAGUAGCAAUACUUAGCCAAGAGUGUCGUACGGGUGCGUAACACGUAUGCAACCUACCCUAUACAGGAGGAUAGCCUAGGGAAACCUGGAUUAACCCUUCAUAGUAUUAUUGGAUGGCAUCAUUUGAUAAUUAAAACUGAGGUGGUAUAGGAUGGGCAUGCGUCUGAUUAGUUAGUUGGCGGGUAAUGGCCCACCAAGACGAUGAUCAGUAGGGGUUCUGAGAGGAAGAUCCCCCACACUGGCACUGAGAUACGGGCCAGACUCCUACGGGAGGCAGCAGUAGGGAAUAUUGGUCAAUGGAUGCAAGUCUGAACCAGCCAUGCCGCGUGCAGGAAGAAGGCCUUCUGGUUGUAAACUGCUUUUGCCAGGGGGAUAAAAUUUCCAUGCGUGGAAAACUGAAGGUACCUGGUGAAUAAGCCACGGCUAACUACGUGCCAGCAGCCGCGGUAA